AAUAGAUACCCGGGUAGUCCACUCCGUAAACGUUGGGAACUAGUUGUGGGGGCCUUUCUACGGUCUCCGUGACGCAGCUAACGCAUUAAGUUCCCCGCCUGGGGAGUACGGCCGCAAGGCUAAAACUCAAAGGAAUUGACGGGGACCCGCACAAGCGGCGGAGCAUGCGGAUUAAUUCGAUGCAACGCGAAGAACCUUACCAAGGCUUGACAUAUACCGGAAACGGCUGGAAACAGUCGCCCCCUUGUGGUCGGUAUACAGGUGGUGCAUGGUUGUCGUCAGCUCGUGUCGUGAGAUGUUGGGUUAAGUCCCGCAACGAGCGCAACCCUCGUUCUAUGUUGCCAGCACGUUAUGGUGGGAACUCAUGGAAUACUGCCGGGGUCAACUCGGAGGAAGGUGGGGAUGACGUCAAAUCAUCAUGCCCCUUAUGUCUUGGGGCUUCACGCAUGCUACAAUGGCCGAUACAAUGGGCUGCGAUACCGCGAGGUGGAGCGAAUCCCAAAAAGUCGGUCUCAGUUCGGAUUGGGGUCUGCAACUCGACCCCAUG
rnacentral:rRNA from 1 species